CCCUGAUAUGGGAAAUAUAUAAGGGAGGAGAGACAAAUCUCACCUGCAGAAGAAUUCCAAAUAAUUUAUGUAAUACUGUGCCCCUGAGGUGGUGGAGCAAACCCCCCCACACCCCACACUUUAGCUGUGGGCUGUGUUCCUUCUGAAGAGCAUAGUAUAGGAAGGGGAAAAAAAUAACUUCCCAGUAGAGAAACCUGGCAAAAACCUUGACCUUGACCAAUUCAACAUUAACCAUGAGGUCACCUUAUUGGUACUACCCUUGAUACCAUAGGAUGCAAAAAUGGCUUUUUGUUUUUCUGACCUUCCUCCCUAAAGCCUCUAACCCCAGUCUAAUUGUGAGAACAAACACUCCACCACCAAGACAGAUCUCACAUUGUCAAGAUCAAAACCCAGAAAGUCUGAGGAGCCUCAUAGCCCAGAACCCUGAAGAGACAGAGUACUGCUGCGGUUUAUGUCCCUCGGAUGCUCAUGAGCUGAAGUCAAAUCCCCAUCCUGAGAUGGCAGAAGGUGGAAACUUAAUCUGACUAUGAUAUUUAGAGGGGCCUUGGGCGGUGAUUAGGAUUUGAGGUCAUCAGGGUGGCUGUCCUAAUUGAAUCCAGGUGGCUGCCAGCGGCCAUCUGCGAGCUGUGCAUGAGCUAAAGCCAUGUGGACCAUUAGGCAGGAAAGCCUGCUGCCGCGACCCUGCUGGUUUGAGAACGCCUGGUUCACGCGGCGGCCCGCCCAGCCCCACAAGUUCAGCACAGCACCAGAGAUGGGUGACCCCGCUGGAGCCACCAGCCUCUC
rnacentral:lncRNA from 1 species